GGGUCAGCAGGUUGGUCGUGCCACCGGUACGUACUGGUCUCACUGAUUCCUCCUUCCUGAAGAACCGUAAUGCUAUUAAUUUGGUGUUGCGGGGAAACAGGACUGUUACUUUGAAAAAAUUAGAGUGUUUAAAGCAAGCUAACGCUUGAAUACAUUAGCAUGGAAUAAUGAAAUAGGACGAUCGAUCCUAUUAUGUUGGUUUCUAGGAUUGACGUA
rnacentral:rRNA from 1 species